rnacentral:rRNA from 1 species
UACGUAGGGGGCGAGCGUUGUCCGGAAUUAUUGGGCGUAAAGAGCGUGUAGGCGGUUCGGUAAGUCUGCCGUGAAAACCUGAGGCUCAACCUCGGGCGUGCGGUGGAUACUGCCGGGCUAGAGGACGGUAGAGGCGAGUGGAAUUCCUGGUGUAGCGGUGAAAUGCGCAGAUAUCAGGAGGAACACCAAUUGCGAAGGCAGCUCGCUGGGACGUUACUAACGCUGAGACGUGAAAGCGUGGGGAGCAAACAGG